GAUGAACGCUGGCGGCGUGCCUAAUACAUGCAAGUCGAGCGAACAGAUGAGGAGCUUGCUCCUCUGACGUUAGCGGCGGACGGGUGAGUAACACGUGGAUCACCUACCUAUAAGACUGGGAUAACUUCGGGAAACCGGAGCUAAUACCGGAUAAUAUAUUGAACCGCAUUGUUCAAUAGUGAAAGACGGUUUUGCUGUCACUUAUAGAUGGAUCCGCGCCGCAUUAGCUAGUUGGUAAGGUAACGGCUUACCAAGGCAACGAUGCGUAGCCGACCUGAGAGGGUGAUCGGCCACACUGGAACUGAGACGCGGUCCAGACUCCUACGGGAGGCAGCAGUAGGGAAUCUUCCGCAAUGGGCGAAAGCCUGACGGAGCAACGCCGCGUGGGUGAUGAAGGUCUUCGGGUCGUAAAACUCUGUUAUUAGUGAAGAACAAAUGUGUAAGUAACUAUGCACGUCUUGACGGUACCUGAUCAGAAAGCCACGGCUAACUACGUG
rnacentral:rRNA from 1 species